UUACGCUUUGAUUUGAAUGAAAACAGCGUAUCCGUGUGACGCAGCUGACACGAACGAACGAAGCUUUUACGGGUUUAGAACGACAUUUGGACUGAUCAUUGAGCUUCAUCUCCUGAGCAAUUCUUAAGCAUUUCGAGCACUUCAAACUCUCCACUGCACAUUUUCAGAAAAUCUAUUCAGAGCACGACCUGCAUUUUUCUCU